rnacentral:rRNA from 1 species
UACGUAGGGUGCGAGCGUUGUCCGGAAUUAUUGGGCGUAAAGGGCUCGUAGGCGGUUUGUUGCGUCGGGAGUGAAAACAUCCAGCUUAACUGGGUGCUUGCUUUCGAUACGGGCAGACUUGAGGUAUGCAGGGGAGAAUGGAAUUCCUGGUGUAGCGGUGAAAUGCGCAGAUAUCAGGAGGAACACCGGUGGCGAAGGCGGGUCUCUGGGACGGUACUGACGCUGAGACGCGAAAGCGUGGGGAGCGAACAGG